GCCUGUCGAAGCGGUAGGUGCUCAUGGGCGUCUCAUGGGCGUCCGAGAUCGGCGGCGAUCGGCUGGAUGGCGGUUUCUGCCCGUCGGCAGGUA
rnacentral:tRNA from 1 species